rnacentral:sRNA from 1 species
GCCAGGAGCUGUGGCGUGCAUCUGUAAUCCUAGCGGCUUGGGAGGCUGAGGCAGGAGGAUUGCGAGUUCAAAGCCAGCCUCUG